AUUGAACGCUGGCGGCAGGCUUAACACAUGCAAGUCGAGCGAGCGGCGGACGGGUGAGUAAUGUCUGGGAAACUGCCUGAUGGAGGGGGAUAACUACUGGAAACGGUAGCUAAUACCGCAUACCAUCAGAUGUGCCCAGAUGGGAUUAGCUAGUAGGGGGGGUAAUGGCUCACCUAGGCGACGAUCCCUAGCUGGUCUGAGAGGAUGACCAGCCACACUGGAACUGAGACACGGUCCAGACUCCUACGGGAGGCAGCAUUGGGGAAUUUUGCACAAUGGGCGCAAGUCUGAUCGAGCAAUGCCGCGUGUGUGAAGAAGGCCUUCGGGUUGUAAAGCACUGUUAGUGAGGAGGCGUUACUCGCAGAGGAAGCACCGGCUAACUCCGUGCCAGCAGCCGCGGUAAUUC
rnacentral:rRNA from 1 species